CAUUCUGGUGGUUUCUAGCAUUUCCCUUUGAAAAGUCGUGCUGGAUGGACGUGUGUUUUUAAACGUUCUGUGUCUGGAAAGUUGUGUAACCAGAUAGUGAUUUAGCGCGCUGGUUAACUAUUCAGCAGCAAAAGAGUCGCAAAACGUGUGCAAACCUGUUAUACAUACAUAGAUUGUAAAGAAAAAUGUGAAGGCUGUGAAGAGUGUGAUAUGAAGAGGAUGAGCAAAUGGCCUUCGUAAGCGAGUGGUGUGAGUCAUGGGAGACUGCUGUAUAUCAACGCUCACCAGAAAGAAGCCUUUGGUCCGGAAUGCACACUCGUUUUCCUGCUCCUCGAAACGUUAAUGGCAACGAUGAGGAGGAACGGAACACUUAACAAACAACCGCAUCAAGAACGAAAUCGAACUGACACACAAAUCAAUCGAUGGGCAAAUCGGUACCUACAUCGCGUCAGUCAAUAAUCGUUUCAAAGAAUUUCGUUUCUAUAACUGAGUGAGUCUUCACGUCUGUCCGUCUUCCGUCAACCACAAUGGCAGCGACUUGCAAGCCAGCCGAUCCUACACAGUUCGCAGCGGCAGCAGCAGCAGCAGCAAACACCACCGAGUCUCCCUUGCCCAAAAUGCCAGAUGCAGCUGACAAGUAAAAUGGGGACAAGGCGGAAUUGCGCGCGGCAGCAGCAGCAGCAGCUUUAGCUCAACAGCAAACACGUGUGUGCCUUAUGCCUCCUGGUCGGUUACCAUCACAACUAUCACUACCUACUCUACAUAACGCGGUCAGCAGUUGCUGACGGCAUCCACCACCAACCCACACAGAUAUCUCUGCAUACACGCGGUAUUCGUAUAUCAGCUGCGAACGCAAAAACAAUUACUUUUUAAAACAGAUUUACAGCAACAAGGAGCGAAAGAAAGCAUCAACGUCAUCAUUGGAAUUUCUCUUAAAUUACACAGUUAUCUUGAAGGUCUGUCAUCAUCGUCAACGUCUUCACUUUGGGUUCGUCGUAUUUUCAUCUGUGUCCUUCGCUUUAUUCUGGUGGCACGUAAGCCGUAUCGAAUUUUUCUCCCUGAAUAACUCUUGAAUUACAGUCAUAAUUACAAAGCAGUCGGUUCUUGCACAAAUCUACAGAUUGAUAGAGGAGUCAUAAUCGAGCACACUUGCAUUUUAUGAGUCUAUGCGUCGCUCAUUAUAGGAAGAAGUUUGAAAUUUUAUCUCAAAAUUGUUACGCAUAAAUACGUGGGCUUCAAUUUUUUUUGUAGCGAUGCGUCACAGUUGAACAGUGCCUGUGAGCAUCGGAUUUCAUCAGCGGGACCUCGCAUCCUUUCUAGGCUUUGCAUUCAUGGGGUGUCGAAAGUGGAAGAUCAACCACAGAGUGUCUACCGUUUAACGCAAGCAAUAUGGAUGCACCCAAACCUUAUCUCUUGUCUAGGAAAAAGACUAUUUUUCGUUUACUAUAUUUUUAGAAAAACGGCGCAGUUGAACGGUGCCUGCGUUCGUCUGUAAGGAAGUUAUCAAGAAAAUAUGUCAAUGAGAUAUCGCAACCAUCAACUUUUCCUAUCAAAUCAUUACAAUUUUAGUGGGCUGCUCAUGUCAGUACGCCAGGAACACAAGUCGAGAUAAUCAAAUGGCAAAGCGUAACUCGUUUGUUAUUCUUAACAUGCACAAAAUGUCGCGUCUGUUUCUCUUUUAGAAAAUUGAGCCCAUGAUAUAGAUGCACAAUCACAAACGAUAAACAAUGUCUGUUGAAAAAGAGCUGAAACCAUGAAACUAUCACAGUCUUGCCGGAUCGGAUAGCGUAACUUUUACAUUUAGUACUCUUAUAAUUUGGCUCUUGUAGCCAACAAAACUAUGAUCGUACACUUGUUUAUGAUUUCCAGCCAUGGACUGGCUGCAAAGCCUAUAUCUAACGAGAGCGAGGUGGAUAUGUUAUCCUGCACGUAAUGUUCGGAGGAUCCUGUUCAGAACUAUAUCAGAAAAUGAAACGAGAAAAGCGUAAAUUUUGAGCCUAUCCACACAAAAACAUAUCUUUUUGUAUUUUAUAGCAAUAUGACGCAGUUGAACUGUGCCUGCGCAUAUUGGAAUUAGAGUUAAUCCCAUAAAUUGGGCUAUACUUGUAAGAGUUCAGCGAGGAAGCGUCAUCUUAAAGGAUUUUCACGUAAACUAUUCGAAUUUCCCUGUGCACAAAUCUUCCUUUUUCGUAUCUUGUAGCUAUAUAGCCGCAGUUGAAUGUGCCUGCGCAUAUCUGUCGGUAGCUGCUUCCCAAUGAUAAAAGGGCAAAGGGACCGUUUCGGCGAAGAAAUCAAGAUUUGGUUCUUUACCAGUGGAAACCAACCCUACAAUCGUCAUCUGCAAAAAUGGAUUUGUUACUUUUACAUUUUCUUCCCCUAGCUUAUUUUCUAAGCAUGUUAUGUAUUAAUUGCAGUGGCGUUUUUGGUUGAUGUUCGGAUGUUCAGAAAACACACAUUAACUCGAAUGAAUACCUGUAGCAAAAUUUCUUGAGGCAAUGGGAAUCAAAUGCCAACUUGAAAGCAAUAACACAUCACAACAUCUAUGUCGAUAAACCAAACCGAACUGUCAAGGUCAGCCCGACACUGAAUACAUCUUGAAUUGCUUAAACCUGUUUUACAGCCAUAUGAAAAGACGAUACUGAGUACUCGAAUAUAAUACCUUCAUAAAGGCAGCAGCACUUAACAUCUUUUUUAGAACGAGGAUAAUAGGCCUGCCCCCACUUCUGUCACACCGGAUUCAAGUUAAAGCGUGAGACAUUUGUGUUCGCUUAUCAUUUUGCUUUGCACUUUCACUUUUGCAGCGAUGCAUUGCUUGUGCGCAUAGACUUUUUACUGCAAUUUGUAUUUUUGGGACCGGUCUGGAGGCGGCCGAUGUACACAAACCUUUUCUCCAUCUCCAAACUACUAGCGUUCACACUGCAAAAUCGUUAAAGGGAAUCAAGAACGAUACAUCAAGUUCAUCCAGCUAGGCAAAUCGUCAAGCAAUGCCAGCACCAACAACACCACCACCACAACAACAAAAUAUGUUACAGCUGCCUUGAUGGCCAGAAAGUCGCAGAUCUCUAAACAUAGAUCGCCCGUACAACGUACAGUGUACAAUUAACGUUUUUACAUUACAGAAAACGUAAGCUGCAAAAAAAUGGCUGCGCUGAGUGGUUGGCGCACUCGCGCCACACAGACAGCUCCGGCACUCACAACCACUUGAGCGGAGCCAGACUCUGUUCUCUCUCCGCCGAGGAGGCAUCACAGCCUGGUUCGGCCAGGCCAGCCCGGGUCAGCUCAGCCAGCAAGUAAUGCAUUGCACCGCAUAGAAAUAUGCGCUCGGUCCGCGCUAAAGGGAAACAAAUGCGUUUGGACCGAGACCCCCGCCACACCACUCAAACACCAGCAGUCGCUCGAGAGGCGAGCUGAUGUGUUGUCGUUGUUAUUGGGCAGCUGCCUGCAAGUACGCUCAUGUCAUCGUCAGCAUCGCCGCCGUCGCCGCCGCAAGUUCCUCGAAUCCAUCCAGCAUUUUGUGUGUGUGCACAUGUAUGUAUUGUAGUAUGUAGUAGAAGCAGCUGAGCAGGCUAUAACGACCCGACCUAUGGAGAUCGUGGCUUAUCGCAAAAGGGAAUCAAAUGCGACUAGUAUUCAAGCAUCAGAACGAAGAGCUGUGCAGCAACAGCAGCAGCAGUCGAGGCAGACGGCGGCUUUCAAUGGGCAGUGAAGACGGCGGUGGUAUUCGAAAUCAACUGGUUUUAUAAUCUGUUGCAAAUUAUCCGCUCAUUCUCACUCACUUCUUAGGUAGCACAUGAUUUUUAACAGAAACUCACUCCGGUAAUCAAAAUCCAUCGCAAAGGGAAUCAAAUGCGAUUAGUGUUCGAUGACGAAGAAGCUAGCUAGUCAGACCAGCUCUACGCUACGCUUCGAUCUGCCAGUUGAGCGCUUAACUCCUGGUGCACCGUUCAACAUUCCGCAAAAGGGAAUCAAUUGCGAGGUGGUACUGCAGCAACGCACGCACACACACGCACACAGACACCCACACCUACACGCACUCAUGCACACAUGCGGAAUUUCCUCUUAUGUGGCAGUCCAACACGUCCUUGGCCCAAAAAGCAUCGAAAUCGUAAGACGAUUAAGAGCAGCAGAAAGCAGGCAGGCGGCAGGCAGGGAAACGAUGCCCGCAGCGAAAGAGAUUUACUUGUCGUCGUCAUCAUUGUUCAUGUUCUUGUUGUUAGUGGUGUGUAUACAUUUUUUCAGGUAAAUUCCAACCCAGCCGACUAGGACAGUUGUCUGUCGGUCUGCCAACAGCACGUACACGUCAAGUUGUUCUCGAAGGGAAUCCAUGAGACACGCGCUACAUCUGCAUACGACAUGUUACAUGUUAUUUUUCAAUGUAUUUUUUGUUUUGUCUAAGUUUAUUAUGUGCUUACAUGAGCAUACAAUUAAGUAUGUAUCUUCUUAUAGAGGCAAUCCUCUAACUCCGGGCUGUUUGAACGAAACUCUUCUGGCCAAGAGCCGUAGUCUACCAUGAAUGAAUGUUUAUUGUACAGCCCAUGUAAAGGUGCUAUAACAUGUUACUUUGUAAACAAUUGUAUAAGCCCGAUCUUUGUAUUGUAAGACGAUUGUAUUGUUAUAAUUGUAAAACUUUGACAUGUACAUAUUUGUGUAUGGCUUAAGAAACGAAGCAGGGACUCGUUCAUUGAAGAAUUCGACUGACGAGGACUCCCUGAUUGAUGUUCAACCCCUUAAUAUGAGAGUGAAGGAGCGACUUGAAAGAGGCUACUCCAUUGCGCUCUUAAGGCGGGCCUGGCCAUGACUUAUGUAUCCAUCUCCAGGGGCUUUUGAUGGUGCUGUACGAGCGGCGGAUGGGACAAUCAACCGUUCAAAUUGGCUGGCAGAACUAGCUUCAACUGUGCGAACUCUUGAUUACCUGGUCGUCGAUUCGCCAUCCACCGUUCCAUGUGCUGAGAUUGAAUCUCUCGAGCUUGCUUCUUUUUCGACUCUGAUGUCGCAUCAUCGCUUCAAAAUUCCUAAAACCUUAAAAUCAGCAAUUUUCUGUUGUAAGAGGCGGAGCUGCAGACUAAAACCAUCCGUUACGGCAUCGACGCUUCAUUCCAAGAAAGAGAUCUGCACUUGAGCUGGAGGUCUUCGUGUUCGUAACGCCACAUCUUAGCACGUCCUGUCGAUUUAACACCUAUAAUUGUUGGGAACAUUUCAUCUACUAUGUCACUGCAUCCAGUCCGAGGCUAAUAGGCAGAUCCACAGAUUUGCCAGCUACAACUCUACUAAUAAUAUUCAGAAAGCAAGCAACACAUCAUUCUCAUCGACACGUACGCCCGCACAAAUCAUUUUUGGCUUCGUCCGCUGACUGGGACACACACGGGAUAGUUUUUCAUUCUCAGUUCGGACCACUUCAGCCCCAAAAUACAACUUGAAAAUCGAACUUCGCAUCGACAACAUAAACACAUUCCCCAAUAUUAGGGCCCGCUGGCAGCUAUAGGAUCCUACUCAGAUCGUUUUCUUCUUGUCUUCUGCUACUCGACCCACUGUAAGGCCAAUGGUGAGGCCGUUCGUUUCUGACGUUUUCUGAAAGGACUUCGUUUCUGGCGAUUAGGAUUUUUUAAGGAUUGCAAAUAUUUUUGAAAAUUUCGGACAAUUGGGCACAAUUUGAAUACGUUUACAUACCGACGGCGGCGAGGGAUAAUAGUAAAUAUUGACAGCAGCGUGGGAUACCCAAAAAUGACUGCAGCGGGGGAUAUCAAAUUGACAGAACAGCGUGGAAUUCUCUUGUUUUCUUCGUGGGACUUAUAGGGCUUCGGUUAGGAGAUGUCGCUAGGUACAAGGCUUCUAUUAUUAGGACAACUGUGAAGGAGAGCCCAUUCGCAUAACGGAUAACUUGAUGUCAGGAGGAGAAUCGCAAUGACUGCGGCGUGGGAUCAUUGACUUUUGACUGCGGCGAGGGAGCAUUGACUUUUGACUGCGGCGAGGGACAUUAUCGCUGACUGCGGCGAGGGAGUUCAUUUGACUGCGGCGUGGGAUUGCACAUGACGGCGGCGCGGGAGCUCGAUACGGCGGCGUGGGAUCAUUUGACUGCGGCGAGGGAUCACUUGACUGCGGCGCGGGAUUAUUCGUCGUUUCAUCGGUGUUGUUUUCUCUAUGAUCAUCGUCGGUAUUCCCAUGAGGCAUAAAUUAAGCAAAAUUCCUACGUUCAAAGCUGAUAUACCUACAUUUUAAAAGCUAUGUGCUGCAACCUAAACAAGCGUCAUCCAUAUAGAACCGUAUCGCUUUAGUUAUUAAUUAAACAUCAAUAACCCGCACCCUUGACCUAAUAACCUCAUGACUGGAGCCUAUCAUCAUUCCAAUCAAAAUUUAUUGUAUAUAAACGUUCCUGGAAUACCGGAAAGUAAUUUAACACACGAUGAUCCAGAUAAUGCCACAGAUGCCUAUAAACGGAUUAUCUGCAGAAUAAAAUUGAUUUUUUGAAAAAAGAAA